GCGGUGGCGCCGGGCGGCGGCGGCGGCGGCGAGGCCGGUGGGUGGGGGGGGCGUGCGAGGCUGGACGUGUUCUGGGCGGUGUCGGCGGCUCCGCCGAGGGAACGGGCGAGGUCGGGGCGAGAUGGAGCCGUGAGCGGUGACUGAGGAGAGAGCUGCUGGUAUGGAAGUGAGCUGGGUUUGUCCGUGGGAGCUGUGAGUAAGGUUGCCAUCACGAAAGCCAAAGUGGAUUUCUCCGGUGUGGUGUGCCUGCCCCCUUCCGUCAUUGCUGGAAAUGGGCUGGACGGAGGAGGGGCUGGCGAAAAUGAUGAUGAGCCGGUGCUGGUGUCGCUUUCAGCGGCC